rnacentral:sRNA from 1 species
CAAUAUCUAUGUAAAGAGAAGUUGCUACAACAACUUCUCUUAGACAGUACCGUUUAAAAUACGGUGACAGACAUUUCGUUUAUUUCAAA